rnacentral:rRNA from 1 species
UGGGGAAUCUUCCGCAAUGUGCGAAAGCCUGACGGAGCAACGCCGCGUGAGUGAAGACGGCCUUCGGGUUGUAAAACUCUGUGAGUCGGGACGAAAGAUAAGCAGACGAAUAAUCUGCAUAAGUGACGGUACCGAAAAAGCAAGCCACGUCUAACUACGUCCCAGCAGCCGCGGUCAUACGUCGGUGGAAAGCGUUGUCCGGAAUGUUUGGGCUUAAAGCUCGCGCAGGUUGUUUAGAAAGUCUGAUGUGAAAGCACACGGCUCAACCGUGGAUGGUGAGUGGAAACGAAUAUAACGGAGUGCAGGAGAGAAAAUUGGAAUUCCUAGUGUAGCGGUGAAAUGCGUAGAGAUUAGGAAGAACACCGGUAGCUAAAGCGGCUUUUUGGCAUGCAACUGAAACUGAGGCGCGAAAGCGUGGGGAGCAAACAGG